GCCGGCCCUCGCCUCUCUCGCGCCCCGGGAUCCCCCGGCCCCCGGAUAGACACCCUCUCCGGCACGCGGUCCCCUGACCCGCGCUCCUCCUGGUCGCGCUUCCCGGGACCUACACGUGGGGUCCGAGGACGCGGGCGGAGGGGGCGGCCCGAUUGGGGCCUGUGAGGGGCCCUCCACGCAGGGCUUUGUCUUGGGCCACCCGGACACGGACGCGUCCAGCUGGCGUCCCUGGGCGCGCGGCCGGCUCUCUCUGGGAAUCAGUCCCUUCUACUGUCAUCGAGUUUGGAGAAGCCCGGCUGUACAGCGUUUUCUUUCCUUUUUUUUUUUCCCUUGGGGGCAGAGUUGAAAAUAAUUUGCCAAGUGGAAGCAUUUUAAAUAUAUCACCAUUUGGGCCGGGCGCGGUGGCUCACGCCUGUAAUCCCAGCACUUUGGGAGGCCGAGGCGGGCGGAUCACCUGAGGUCAGGAGUUCGAGACCAGCCUGACCAACAUGGUGAAACCCCCGUCUCUACUAAAAAUACAAAAAAUUAACCGGGCGUGGUGACAGGUGCCUGUAAUUCCAGCUACUCGAGAAGCUGAGGCAGGAGAAUCGCUUGAACCCUGGAGGUGGAGGUUGCAGUGAGCCGGGAUUGCGCCACUGCACUCCAGCCUGGGCAACAAGAGCGAGACUCCAUCUGAAAAAAAGAGAGAGAGAAAGAAAGGAAGAAAAGAAGAAAAGAAAAGAAAGAGGCAUGACAGUGCGGCCACAGGUGUUCCUCUAACUGGGCACGCAGCGGUGCUCCACUAAGCAAACGAAGGAAGCCCACCCCAUCAUGCCCCCACUCCCACGCAGCCCGGAGCAUCCUCCAAUACCCAAACCUCUCGCCUGCCUGGGUUUUAGGGGGAGUGAAGCUCCAGUCACUUCCCCCUGAGGACAUGCUCAGAGUUCAUCUGAUUCGGGCCUGCAUCUGGGGCUCUGGAUAGUCAGGGUCCCUGUCGGUGGCCAAGAUUAAGGGCGAAGUCAGAAGGGAUCACUGGCAGCCCAUUCCCCUGCCAAGGGGUGAGAGGAGCUGCCUUAUUUUUUCUGUGCUGUAUCUUAGAUGAUGACAGGCUAUUCUAGCACAUCAUUUCAGAAGGCCUGGGAUGCUUCUGCCACAGCGGCAGGGCCACGCGUUCUGGCUAUCUGUCUACCUGGUCCCCCCACCGUGAACACGUAAUGACCACCACCAACACUGGGAGGCUGCUCUGUGGUGGCCAUGGGAAGAGCUUGUCCAGAUGGACAGCUCAAACCUGGGGCACGGAGGCUAGCAUCGCCUAGGCGCUUUGAGAGCCAAGCUCCCCAGGCUGUUACAAAAUCACUUUUCCCCAAGUGAUAACAGCAAGUAACACUUUUACCUAAAAACCCAAAAACCCAAAAUGGACAGCCCUCUGGGCCAGGGAUACACUGUCAAAAGGACUGACUCUGAAGGAAGUCUCCCAGCCCUGGGUCCCCUCCCCUUCCUUUCUGUCCCUCAGGACCUUUGCGAAGGUGGCAGAGGACCACCGGACAGGGAGGAAAUUGGGAAGUUGGUGACAAUUAACUCGUUUCAGAAUUCUGGCCACAUGAAAAAAAGGAGAGAAGGAGGCUGGGUCCUCUCCAAGACUGGUGCCCAGGUCUCCCCUGAGUCAGGAAGCAGGUGAUCCCUAUGCCCCCUCUGUAUCGCCCUCAGCCAGCGGCAGGCCCUGAACAGCUGACUGCCCUCAUCUGGGAUCUGCCAUUGACCCCAAAACACCCACCCCCUCUGAGUAAAGGAUGUCGGCCGGACCCUGUUUGUUGGCUAACGUGAGCGAGACCCCUCCUCAGCGGCCAGUGAGGCCCCUUCCUCACAUUCUUCAUGGCAGCAGCACAGGCCUGGCUGUGGGGACCGCCGUCUAAAAGGAGCAACAGUGCGUCUGUCCAUCGCUGUGUCCAGGGCCUCUCGAGACCCCCAGAUGGGCGUGGGGGAGGAGGUGAGUGCUGCGGGCCUCUGGGAGGGACGGGCAUGAGCCACAGGCCCGUCGGAGCCAGGCUGGCCUGUCACCCCUGUGAGGCAGAAGACGCUGCCUGCCCCUUCCCCAGGAGGCUGCUCAGACCCUCAGGAGCCCAGCCUGCCCUGACUGUGAUCCCAGGCCACUUCCUUCCUCAGCCUUCCCCCAGAGCACGCUAGGAGGGGCCGCCAGGAGGGGCAAGUGCCCACAGUCCCCUCAGAAGAGACUGCUGGUCCAGAGGCAGGGAGAAGCUGGCUGGAGCCUGGAGGAUGAUGGCCCCGGCGUCAGGAGUUUCGGCAACUGGACCCUUGAGCAGAGGCAAGCAGUACCCAGAUUCUGUGUCCAGCGGCCGCCCUCAGCCGGGCUCCCUCCCAGUGCCACAGAUGCCCACAGUGCACAGAUGCCCGCCGGGCACUGCUGAAGCUGCUUCGUCACAGCCAAUGGGACUCUGGCCUUGUGGAUUCUGGUGUUUUGGAGGUACUGGAUCCCAUCCCCCAAGGAUACAAAGGGACAGCUGUACUUGGGACUGGCAUCUGAAGUGGAGGACACUCUUGUGGGACUGAGACCUUAGCCUGCAGGAUCGGGUACUGUCUCCAGGGAGAAAGCGUCACAAUGGAACAGGGUUGGAGGACGCCCAGCGGGUGUCCGCGGAGACUGGAUGGAACCGGGUUGGAGGACGCCCAGCGGGUGUCCGCGGAGACUGGAUGGAACAGGGUUGGAGGACACCCAGUGGGUGCCUGCGGAGACUCGCUGGAGCAGGGUUGGAGGAUGCCUAGUAGGUGUCCACUGGAGACUUGCUUGGUGUUUGGGGAAAAUCCCCACACACAUUUUGGUGACCAGAGAUGAAGUAUUCCAUGUUGGAUGUUGACUGUUGAGUGUGUGAGAGCAGGGAAAACACUGUUUUUUUUUCCUGUCUCAGACACCAGCCCAGCCCUGGAGUCAGCCGUGUCUCCCAGGAACCUGGUUCCUUGUGUUGGGGGAAUGGCAUCAGAGACCAAGACAUGGGGGC
rnacentral:lncRNA from 10 species